AAUACGGGACCCCAAGUUUUAGGUUAUAAAGAACAGUUUAAGUAAUCCAUGCCAUACAGUGACAAUAUGUUAGAGUGUCGUGAUACAGGUAAAUUGUAUAGAGAUGGAGGUUUCUAAGAUAUGGUAAUAAUGUAUCCACACAUUCUGGCAAAUGUUUUUUAUUUAAAUUUGCGCAACAUACUACCACAAGUACACUUCAGUGUAUGUAACUUAUUUUGAACAGUUUGGCAAACAGUACCACGCACUUGUGUGUGUAGGGAAUAAACAUUUUACCGCUUUGCUUCACACGGUUAAAAAAAGUCAAAGAACCGUUGAUUAAGUUUUACAAAACAGAAUUUUUUUGUUUCACUUGACUUUCACAUAUCUCAACUAUGCGGUACAUUCAAAAAUGUAUAACCGAAGGUACAAACAAAAUUAAAUGAUGAAUAAAUUAUAUAAUUUCCCAUUUUCUGUUCGGUCUUUUAUAUCAAUUUUUGUGAUUAAAAGUUUAACAAUUAGUGUGGAAUGUUUUAAGCGUGUUUGUUUUGCUUCCGACAGAAAAAGCGAAAAAAAAUUUCGGUGCGAAAAAAGUGAAAUAGAACAGAACGAGUGAGAGGUUUUAAAAUAAAGUGCACCGGCAAUGGUCUGCGGCUUCUCGAGAAUAACAGCCCUGGCACCAAGUGUAAAAUUGAAGUCUGCGAUAUUCAAGCAUGCUCACAACCAUGCCUAAUUACUGUUCGGGCCUGCUUGGAUCAAAUCUGAUGCUUGUCGCGAUGAUUCGUCCCUGUGAGAUUCAUCGCUACUCGGUCACCAGCAAGCGAAAAUCAGAUUACUCACAGCAAUCAUUCAACGGACUACUUUUUCCAUAAUCCUACGCCAUAGAAGGACCAGGCCAAAAUCAACACGUGUGACUGCGGAACAAUCAGGAUCUGCAAUCUUUGGUAGAAAGAAAAGGCUCGGUCAACGUUCAGCAACUCUUGCCAUCGGAAUCCGCGGAGCUGCUUGAAGUGGUGUUAACCUUUAGUUCCCCCGACGUGGUGGAGUCGCGAUCAACGGAAACCUUUCUGGAAAUUGAUUAACUUCAAGUCAUUCGUAGCUCUUGUGCUUUACUAUAAUGAGUACUGAUAAAAAUGUAACUAUUAUUUACAUUUC